rnacentral:tRNA from 1 species
GGGGGUGUCGGUUAAUGGCAAACCAACGGUCUCCAAAACCGUGACUGCAGGUUCGACUCCUGCCACCCCCGCCG